UGAACGCUAGCGGCAGGCUUAUCACAUGCAAGUCGAGGGGCAGCACGGGUAGCAAUACUUGGUGGCGACCGGCGCAAGGGUGCGUAACGCGUGAGCAACAUGCCCGUAUCAGGGGGAUAAUCCAGGGAAACUUGGUCUAAUACCCCAUAGCAAUUAAAGGAGGCAUCUUUUUUAAUUUAAAGCUUGGGUGGAUACGGAUUGGCUCGCGUGACAUUAGCUAGAUGGUAAGGUAACGGCUUACCAUGGCUACGAAGUCUAGGGGUUCUGAGAGGAAGAUCCCCCACACUGGAACUGAGACACGGUCCAGACUCCUACGGGAGGCAGCAGUGAGGAAUAUUGGACAAUGGAUGGAAAUCUGAUCCAGCCAUGCCGCGUGCAGGAAGACGGCCCUAUGGGUUGUAAACUGCUUUUGUAUGGGAGCAAUAAGGUCUAUGCGUAGACUGAUGAGAGUACCAUACGAAUAAGCAUCGGCUAACUCCGUGCCAGCAGCCGCGGUAAUACGGGGGAUGCAAGCGUUAUCCGGAUUUAUUGGGUUUAAAGGGUGCGUAGGCGGUUUGAUAAGUCAGCGGUGAAAUAUUUCAGCUUAACUGAAAGGGUGCCGUUGAUACUGUCAGGCUUGAAUAUGGUUGCUGUGGGUGGAAUGUGCGGUGUAGCGGUGAAAUGCUUAGAUAUCACACAGAAUAUCGAUUGCGAAGGCAGCUCACAAAGCCAUUAUUGACGCUGAUGCACGAAAGUGUGGGGGUCAACAGGAUUAGAUACCCUGGUAGUCCACACUGUAAACGAUGAUAACUCGCUGUCGGCGAUACACAGUCGGCAGCCAAGCGAAAGCGAUAAGUUAUCCACCUGGGGAGACGACCGCAA
rnacentral:rRNA from 1 species